CCUAAAACCCAUGCACCAAAUCUCUACACUAGAGAUGUAAAAAUUUUUAUCUAACUCUUGAACAAAAAGGAGAAGAAAAAACCCAUAUCCAAACUAGGACAAAAGAGAGAGAGAGAAGGUCCUAACAACCAACAUUUGGUUGUUGGUAAGAAAGAAGAGAUAAGAGCAACCUUACCUCAUGUCAUGGACCCAUGAUGUCGUGCCCUCUUUUCCCUAGGAUUUUUCCAUGCACAAAUUCCUCUUUUUUUUGGUGUCAAAACCUGAUCACAUCAGCCCUUGUUCCCAUCCCAUAUGAUGC
rnacentral:lncRNA from 1 species